ensembl:lncRNA
GCUCUGUGAGACUGGGCCAAUGGCCUCAGUCGUCUUAGACUUGCCCUGGGUCAAUGUGUAUAUUCUUAAGCCAAAUUUCUUUCCAUUCCCAUGAUGCUGUACUGUUCUUAUACUCUUUUCUAAACAUCAUCACUGACUUUGUUUUUAAUUUUUGGACCUAAUUUUUGGACCUGUUUCCAUAUCUCAUAAGGCUCACUUCUUCAUGAAGUCUCCUGUGCUUUUUUUAUUAUCCAUUUGCGGGCACUCAACUUUGAGAGUCAGUGAUAAAAGUGGCACCAGUCCAAAGGAUGAGGAGGGACCUGGAGGCCAUGAGUAUAGGAUGUGCAUUGAAAGAGCUGGAGGUGCCCAGUUUGCAGGAGAGAAAACAUAGGCGUUUCUGCAGGGCUGUCCUGAGGUGGUGCUUCAUGUGGAAGUUGGGGAAAACAACUGGGAGGUCGAUGUUGGCACACUAGAAGAAAAACCGUCACAUGUGAAAACCUUAAAGGUACUUUUGGAAUGGAGAAAUAGAAGAAGCCACUCAGAUCCUGUUGUUGAUAAAGACAAAGACUUCCAAGGUACACAUGCUGUCCAGCUACAUCAGGUUGGUGCAUCCUUUUGAAAUCCCAGAGAUCUUCAGUCUUCUCAUGGACCAAGGAGAUGUGCAGUAUUUGAAGUGGCUGGAGGAGGGCAUGGAGGAGGACUGAGUGGGGGAGGCUUUUUGUGCGUCCUGCUGGCUGCCUCUAGCCUUCAUCAGCUGCACUCUGGGAAAGGGGAGGCCUCUUUCUGCCUCCUGGCAUCUCUGGAUUCCAUGUUUUUGUCAGCACAGAGGAGCUAAGUAACUUGUGAAGGCUGAAGGUCCGAGGCUCCUAAGGCUGGAAGAGGAGGCUGGGCCAGUUGGGCCAGGCAAGAACCCAGUGGAACUUUUCUCUGAGUGCUUCAUGCUUAAAGGUGGCCAGGGGGUGGGAGGGUGAUGAUGGCUGUGUGUAGGGAUCCAGGGGAGGUGGCAGUGAGGGUGAGGUUUGUCACCUUCUCCUGCAGUCACUGUGCCUACCUCGAGUGCCCAAGAUGUAAUUCCUCUCCUUCUCAGGAGGAGGAAUGGACCUCAUGACCUCUUCAGCCAGAACUGUGUGGGAUGAAUGCACCUUUUGGGAAACUGGCAAGCACUUCAUCCAAAAGGAUGAAUUCCUAAUGGUGGAAUUUCAGGGACAAGCAGGAUUAUUUCUCCAGGCGAAAGAUGGUGUUUGUUGUUCCAGAGUCUUGAGGAGGUGGGACUGGGAAUGGGCCUCAAGAGUUUGUAGGACAAGGGAAACAUUAGGGCUUAGACACAGCCUCAUGGGUUGGGAGUAGGUCUUGACUCUUCCUGGCCUGAAUGUGACAGACAGCAGAAGCUUCUGGGGCCUUUCUCAGUGGAGACACAGGUUCUGAGCCCGCCAUACUAUUUCACUUGAGCAUUGAAGCUGAACAUCCUAAAGUAGGAAAGAACCCUGGGGAAUUGCUGGACCAGUGUUUUUCAGACUUACUCCACAGAGCCCCAGGGGUUGACAGAAGGUACUCUGGGGGCUGCCUCGGUGUGCGGGUAAGGAUAUGAGGCCCCCCCACCCAUAAUUCAACCAGUACAACUGUGCUUUUAUUUAUGUAUUGAGCUCCCUUGUAAGCUUUGGGGUUUUUUUUAAAAGUUUUCUCUGUUAAAAGUUUGUGAACCAGUGGUCUAAGCCAAUCUCCAUUUUAUAGAUUCCUAAAGGAAACUGAACUGCACUGAGGUCCAGAAAGGGGGUGACGUGUUGCAUUAUGAAGGGUACAGCCAGGCCUGCUCGCCCUGUGUCUGGUGCUCUCCUAUACCUGCUCCACGGGUCUUAGGGGGAAGAGAGCAGAGAAGGCAGAGCCCUGUGGGGUGAGAAGAGAGACUUGACCAAAGGCCUCUCUGUGCCUCUAUCACAAGGUAACCCUCCUUGGGGGAGACCAUGGGCAGUUUGGGUAGGGGUCCACAGAUAUCUGUGGUAUCCUGGGCCUUUCUUCCCCGAGGGAAGGGUGUGUGGGAGGGGUUUUGCCUGGCUCUAGUUCUGACACCUCCUGUGCUUCUUGGACCUUAGUUCCUCCGAAUAUAAAAUGGGGGGGGGGGGGAUCUCCAGGGGCUCUUCUGUGAAGACCUUGUAGGGACUUUAGGCUGAGGCCCUUCCAAAGGUUCAGAGGAUCCUAUGUUGAGAGCCAGUGGGGAUUUUGGAGGACUGCCUCAGGAGAAGAAUAAAGAGAAUGAUAAUGGUGGUGUCCCUUUUUACAACAGAUGUUUGUGAUACAUAUGAAAAUCUUGUGUAAGUGUGAAAAUCUUGUGAAAACGUUCUGGGGACCCCAAAUGGACUGCCCGUUAUUGCUUUCAGGAUAAAGUCCAAUUUCUUGCUUUGGCUUUCUUUUUUCUUUUUUUGGUUUAUAACAUUGUGUGAUUUCAGGUGUACAUUAUCAUAUAUCAGUUUCUGUAUAGACUACAUCGUGCUCACCACCAAUAGUCUAUAGUUUUUAUCUGUCUUCGGUCUGGCUUUGAAGGCCCUUCAUAACCUUGUCUCCAACUCUGGCAAGUGGAUGGCUCCAAUAUGCUGUGUGAUAUUACCCCUGAUUUCAGGCCAUCCCUUCUGCCUGGAGUGCCCUUAUGCAUGAAUGCUCGUGAAACCUGGCUGCUCCUUUGCAAGGCCUGGCUCCCCUGGUUGGAAGGAAUCUCUCCUGCUGUGGUGUCCCUGUUAUCCUCGUGCACCACAACCAGCCUCCUAUUUCUAGAAUGUGGGCUGCUCGAGGUCAGGGGCGUGUCUGAAUCUAUUUGAUGUCUUCCACAGGGUUUGGCAAAUAUUUCCCAAAUUGAUGUUUAAAGGAUAUGAAUAACUAAAGCUUUCUCUGUAGUCCAUAGUUAUUUUCUAAUUGUUGGAAUUGGCAAAAUCCAACAUUUUUUCCUUGAACUUUCUUAAAGUAGGACUAAUUCCAAAGCAGAUUUUUCUUUCCCUCUGUGGCCUUCAUUGGGUCAUUUUCUAUGCUGACCGUGCAUUGAAAACUGUUGGUGGCCUUCCUUUGCCUCAGUGUCACCGUUGACUAUAGGAAUGGGAGGGGAGAGGGACAGAACACCAGCUCUCUCUGCCAGGUAGUGUUAGGUUCUUAAUUAUUUUUACCUUAUAACUCAGUGUUCUCAUUUUGCAGAUGUAACCUGAGAUCAGAGAGUGUAAGACACCUAAAAUAAGUGUCAGAGCUAUGCUCUGAACCCAGUUUUGAUUCUAAACCUGCUGCUCUUAUUGCCUCUUUCAAAGAGGUUGGAUAUCUUUCUUUAUAGGCCAAAGACCCAGAGAGCCUGCUGUAGCCAACUCUAAAGGAAGUUAUUAGUUCUUAAAACAUCUAUAUGGUAAGUUGGUCUGGCACUUAAACAUUUAUUGCAUUGUUUACUUCUCCCCACAGAUGUGGAGGUUGGUGAUAGUAUCUUCACUCUAUAGAUGAGGGGACAGAUUGAGCGUUGUUCAAGGAUUUUUAGGGUCUGCAUAACUCCAGCUUACAUGGUUUGGCCACUAGACCUCACUGUCCUCCUAGAAUGAUGCUGUGGGAGCUGGGGCCAGGACCUAGACUGGUGUUUCCGUGUGGGAAUUCCUUCCCAGCAUUUCUCAGGAAAUAAAUUUUUUUUUUUUAAGAUCGGCAUCUGAGCUAACAUCCGUUACCAAUCUUUUUGUUUUUUUUCCCUCCUUCUUCUCCCCAGAGACCCCAAGUACACAGUUGUAGAUUCUAGUUGUAGGUCCUUCUGGUUCUGCUAUGUGGGAUGCCACCUCAGCGUGGCUUGAUGAGCGGUGCUAGGUCUGUGCCCAGGAUCCGAACUGGUGAAACCCUGGGCCACUGAAGCAGAGUGCACGAAUUUAACCACUUGGCCACGGGGCCGGCCCCAGGAAAUACAUGUUUUUUGUAUACAGAAUCCCCAGAAAAAUCGGUUGAAGAAAUGAGAAGAGGCAUUAUAAUUAUCCAUGAAUACCAAAGCCUAAAAGCAUAGAGAGGUUACUGGCUUGAAGGGACUCACCUUCAUCAAAUAAAAAGCAAGAGCAAGAAACACUAACACGUGGAGUUGAAGGUUCAGACAACCAGGACAGGAGCAUGCAGGAGAGAAAUGGGUACCAUCUCCUCAGUCUGGCGUGUGAUCGCUGCCCUGUCAUAUGUGUGUGUGUCGGUAGCCCUGUCUGCUGCAAACCGUGAGUUAUUCUUGCCAAUGCAGUAAGUUUAUACACUGCUAUAGUAUACUUCACACAAAUCCUAUCAGCAGUAUUCCAAGAAAUAAGCUUUGGAAGCAAAAUAAAUUCUCAGUUUGGCAAUUUUGACACAUGACCCUGUGUACUGUUAACCCUGCUAGGAUAUGUGAAUGUUAGCAUUAUUUGAAUACUAUCCAAUAAGGUUCCCUGGCAUUUUCUAAUGUUUAAAUAUUCCCUAUAGGCCACAGUUCUCUGUAACUACUACUGAGCUUAACAUGCCUGUUUGUUAGACAC